rnacentral:sRNA from 1 species
AUGGGAAAUAGUGUAAGAAGCAAUCUAAGAGACAUCAGAGGACGACGAUCGAUGGAUCCUCGGAUGUGGCACA